rnacentral:lncRNA from 1 species
CCAAUUGGAUCUCCUCACUAAAAUCAUGGUGGUAGCGUCUACAAAAAAUACCAAUGUAUUUCACUCUUAAGGUGCCAAAAGUUAUGAUGAGGAAGAAUAUAUGGCAAUCGAUAAAGGGAUAAGGUUUUUGGAAAAUUAUUUAAGGGUUCCCGCCCUGCCUAUCAAAGGUAAGGUGGGAAUCAAGGUUGGAAUGAUUGAGACUAAGAUCAUAAUUAGCAUGAUGGAGAUUGAGACUGGAGGGACAAAGAGAGAGAUUAUGAUAGUUAUGUGCCCC